UUUUAGCCAAGCUGAGAGCAAUGUUAAGGCCUCUUGGUCAUACCUUACUAAGGGAUCAUUUUAAUAUAUUGUUUAAAAUACUCAAGGAAUUCUGUGCCAUCUAAGUAGUAGAAGAUUUUUAUUCAUUUAUUCUAGGGAAAACAUUAGCUGAUUGUGCACACUAUGUAUGCGGGAGGAGUAGGUUGCUUGAAUGGAGUCACAACGUCAUGGUAAUCUGCUCCUGGCAGAAACUGCGAUGGAUUUGGUUAGUUUUGACUGAGUUUCUGAAUCAGAGGGUUCUACAAGGACAGAGAAAUGUCUGAGGUCAGGACAAGUCAAGAAGGACUCAAGUACCUGACUAAAGGUUUACUCAAAGGAAACAGUCUUUGUCACAGGUAGGUCAAGAGAAAUUGUGUUAGUAAAAAUCCUAUUUCUUUAUUUCUUCCUAGAUUAAUCGUUUAUGUAGCAAGGAUAUGGUAGGAAUACAUUUUUUUCAACCACAAAAAUUAUGUUACACUCAGGGCCAUGAUUAAGACACAAAUUUAGAUUUAUACUUUACAAGGAAUGUGUAGUCUGUCUGUGUAUAUAUUUUUUCUGUCUUUAUAUUAACAAUAUUGGGCUUGGCUGAAAGUUUCACAUUGUAGUUUUAUAAACAUUAAAGAAUUUAAGCAUUUUAAAUGAUAAGUAUUACAAAUAUAUCCAAAGUGAUCCACUAUUUAGAUACGUCUUUUCUUACUUUCCAAAUACAUAGAAAGUAUGAUAUAUAAUGUGAUUUAUUAUAGUUCCUAAACCGCCUCCUAUAUGUGAAGAAGAGGGAAAUACAGUAUCUUUAUAUGAAGAAAUUCCAUACUUUUUAUCAUGUAAUAAAUAUCUGCUUUCCAAAAAUAUACCCUAUGUCACCAGUAACCAGUUUUUGUUUUUGUUUUAUUAAUAGGUUAUGUGUUCUAAGAUUUCAGAACAGUAGUAGUCCCCCUUAUCCAUGGAGAAUAUGUUCCAAGACCCUCUGUGGAUGCGUGAAACCAUGGAUAGUACUGAAAGCUAUAUAUUCCUGUACUAUGAUUUUUCUUAUACAUACCCGUGAUAAAGGUUAUAGAUUAGGCACAGAAAGAGAUUAACAACAUUAUUUAAUAUAAAAUUUACCAAUUAUAACAAUAUACUCCAAUAAAAGUUAAGUGAAUAUGGUCCCUCUCUCUUAACAUUUCUUUUUUUUCUUUCUUUCUUUUUUGAGACAGAGUCUCCCUCUGUCACCCAGGCUGGAGUGCAGUUGUGCGAUCUCAGCUCACUGCAACCUUCACCUCCCAGGUUCAGGCGAUUCUCCUGCCUCAGCCUCCUGAGUUGCUGGGACUACAGGU
rnacentral:lncRNA from 1 species